AGGACUUUAAUACGUGGAAUUUCUGGAAACUCCCACCGCGCGAUAUUGAUGUUUGAGGUGUUGAAGAGAGUUUACUGCUUUAUCUUCUCGCCUGCGCUAGAUAUGGAGACGGAUGAGUUUUGCCAUGCACGUGUUUAGAAGUGUCGAGAUCUCACAGGUCGUGCGGUUGUAUGUAGCUAGGAAUUAUUGACUAAAUGACUGCUUUGCCGAUCGGGGUGAUUUAUCGGCGACCUGAAACAAUAUAUGGAAGAGUUGGAUCAGUCCCACCUCCAUGCUGCUGCUUCAUUUUCUCUUCUUUUUUUCUUCUGUUCAAUCCAAUUUUGUGUAGUCUGUUUCUGUACAUUCCAUGACCACUUCAAGUUGUAAGUAUUAUUUGGAAGUCGAAUAGGUAAAUAGGCAUUCACAUUCACAUAUAAUUUAACUGUAAAGUUCUUGUUUCCAAAUGUAAAUUGAUUUCUCAUGUGGAUUCAAGUAUCUAGUUUUGCUCUUUCUGUUGCACUUAAUCCGUACUCAGCAUUUUGCCAGA
rnacentral:sRNA from 1 species